rnacentral:rRNA from 1 species
UUAGUGGAAGCGUCUGGAAAGGCGCGCGAUACAGGGUGACAGCCCCGUACACAAAAGCGCAUGUGCUGUGAGCUCGAUGAGUAGGGCGGGACACGUGGUAUCCUGUCUGAAUAUGGGGGGACCAUCCUCCAAGGCUAAAUACUCCUGACUGACCGAUAGUGAACCAGUACCGUGAGGGAAAGGCGAAAAGAACCCCGGCGAGGGGAGUGAAAAAGAACCUGAAACCGUGUACGUACAAGCAGUGGGAGCACAGGUUUACCUGUGUGACUGCGUACCUUUUGUAUAAUGGGUCAGCGACUUAUAUUCUGUAGCAAGGUUAACCGWAUAGGGGAGCCGGAGGGAAACCGAGUCUUAAYYGGGCGUUAAGUUGCAGGGUAUAGACCCGAAACCCGGUGAUCUAGCCAUGGGCAGGUUGAAGGUUGGGUAACACUAACUGGAGGACCGAACCGACUAAUGUUGAAAAAUUAGCGGAUGACCUGUGGCUGGGGGUGAAAGGCCAAUCAAACCGGGAG